GUAUUGAAUCAUCUGUUCUGCGUGAUUUUCUCUCCAGAAAACAAUUAAAUGCACAACAUGUUAGAUCUUUCUUAUGCUUUUCGACAACAGAAAGACAAAUCGAGUUGUCUCUUCAUGAUGUUAAAAUCAUCUCCCAAGCAUUUCCACUGAUCAGGGUCUUGGAAAUCCAAUCUGUUAAAAUUUUCCUCCCCAUGUAUCUUA
rnacentral:lncRNA from 1 species